AGCCGGGCGUGGUGGCGCAUGCCUGUAAUCCCAGCUACUCCGGAGCCUGAGGCAGGAGAAUGGCUUGAACCUGGGAGGCGGAGGUUGCUGUGAGCCGAGAUCACUCCAUUGCACUCCAGCCUGGGCAACAAGAGCGAAACCCCAUCUCAAAAGAAAGGGGGGGGAAAAAAAAAAAAAACACUGUGGCAUGUUUCCGCCCGGUUUCGAACCGGGGACCUUUCGCGUGUUAGGCGAACGUGAUGACCACUACACUACGGAAACCCACACCUACCUCUGUCGCCAUAAUAUUGUCUGCUAGCAGCUACUCUCCGGGUACGUUCGACAAGUGAUCCCUAGCUGUAAAAGGAGAGCCCCCACAACCCUCAAGAGCAUACUCUCACGUGCAGGUCUGUGCCCAAAGUCUUCACAGCAACUGUUGCUUCCGGGACGGCUCGCUUAGUCUCCUAUCCACGAUUCUUUCCAAUCCCCAGCACUCCCGGAAAUCUUGGUGAUGCCUCCGCUGGACAUCUUUCGGGAUCAAAACUGUCAAGCAGAGACAUUUCCUACACUGCUGUAAAACAGCGUGGGAUGGUGGUUAAGCUACUCCGAGGAAACAAUGCUCAUUUUUCCAUUCGCACGCUCGGCGAUCUUGCUCCGCCGUCUGCGACCGCCACUGUCCUCGCCCCUCCUCUCUGCCUCUCCACGCUGGACUCCCCUGGGUGCCGUGGCUGGCUUUCGGCUCUUCCAGCAGUGAACAUUUCAGGUGAACGGACCCGCCCCAAGGGUCCUCCCCACCCGGCAUAGCUCUCCCUUGUCCCAAGCCUCGCACCCACGCCUCCCCCAGCAGCUGGACAGGAGCGCCAGCCUGGGAGACCUCCCGGCACCUCACCCAGAUCCCACCUGAUUCAGCCAGGUGACCCGUGAGUGUACGGGAGCGGCUGUAACGCCCAGACUCUGAGAGCCCCCGAGUGCGAGGCCUGAGGUUCAUCCACCUGUCUCUUCGAUGAUUAUGGGGACCGCCUGCCAACACCCCCACACACAAGCAGACGCACGCACCCUGGGAGUCCACGGCUUUCGUCGGGAGGGUAUCUGUAGUUAAGCCGUCAGGUAGCUCGCCACUGGUCCCCGUGACCCGACUUCUACAGUGGGGUGAUCUUCCUGUGGGGCAGGCGUUUCGGGGUCCACGAGUCCGAGGAGCCCCGGGAGCGCUAGUGCCCGAACGUGCUGGCAGGCUCCUGGCCUCUCCCGAGCGAAUCCAUCCCGGUCUUGACCCACGGUCUCGGCUCUUUGGACCGGAGCAGGCAUGGGUGAGAGAGGGAAGCGCAUACCUCCCGGCCGGAGCCGCAGACCCCGCUCGCUC
rnacentral:lncRNA from 1 species